rnacentral:rRNA from 1 species
GGGUUGUGAGGUUAAGCGACUAAGCGUACACGGUGGAUGCCCUGGCAGUCAGAGGCGAUGAAGGACGUGCUAAUCUGCGAUAAGCGCCGGUAAGGUGAUAUGAACCGUUAUAACCGGCGAUUUCCGAAUGGGGAAACCCAGUGUGAUUCGUCACACUAUCAUUAACUGAAUCCAUAGGUUAAUGAGGCGAACCGGGGGAACUGAAACAUCUAAGUACCCCGAGGAAAAGAAAUCAACCGAGAUUCCCCCAGUAGCGGCGAGCGAACGGGGAGGAGCCCAGAGCCUGAAUCAGCAUGUGUGUUAGUGGAAGCGUCUGGAAAGGCGCGCGAUACAGGGUGACAGCCCCGUACACAAAAGCGCAUGUGCUGUGAGCUCGAUGAGUAGGGCGGGACACGUGGUAUCCUGUCUGAAUAUGGGGGGACCAUCCUCCAAGGCUAAAUACUCCUGACUGACCGAUAGUGAACCAGUACCGUGAGGGAAAGGCGAAAAGAACCCCGGCGAGGGGAGUGAAAAAGAACCUGAAACCGUGUACGUACAAGCAGUGGGAGCCCCACCACUAAGCCAGUGGUGAACUCCACAUACGCAUCCUUUGCUGAGGAUACGGUUAACGGAGCGAAAGCGACGUUCAACCUCAAAAGAAGCAGAGGGGGCUUAGUGGUGGGGUGACUGCGUACCUUUUGUAUAAUGGGUCAGCGACUUAUAUUCUGUAGCAAGGUUAACCGUAUAGGGGAGCCGGAGGGAAACCGAGUCUUAAUUGGGCGUUAAGUUGCAGGGUAUAGACCCGAAACCCGGUGAUCUAGCCAUGGGCAGGUUGAAGGUUGGGUAACACUAACUGGAGGACCGAACCGACUAAUGUUGAAAAAUUAGCGGAUGACCUGUGGCUGGGGGUGAAAGGCCAAUCAAACCGGGAGAUAGCUGGUUCUCCCCGAAAGCUAUUUAGGUAGCGCCUCGUGAAUUCAUCUUCGGGGGUAGAGCACUGUUUCGGCUAGGGGGUCAUCCCGACUUACCAACCCGAUGCAAACUGCGAAUACCGGAGAAUGUUAUCACGGGAGACACACGGCGGGUGCUAACGUCCGUCGUGAAGAGGGAAACAACCCAGACCGCCAGCUAAGGUCCCAAAGUCAUGGUUAAGUGGGAAACGAUGUGGGAAGGCCCAGACAGCCAGGAUGUUGGCUUAGAAGCAGCCAUCAUUUAAAGAAAGCGUAAUAGCUCACUGGUCGAGUCGGCCUGCGCGGAAGAUGUAACGGGGCUAAACCAUGCACCGAAGCUGCGGCAGCGAACGUAUCACUUAAAGCGAUUCAGCGGGUUACGAUUGACGGAGCGAAGCGACGUCAAAGCGUAUACAAAGUCGAGUCGGUUUAAGGAUACGUUCGUUGGGUAGGGGAGCGUUCUGUAAGCCUGUGAAGGUGUGUCGUGAGGCAUGCUGGAGGUAUCAGAAGUGCGAAUGCUGACAUAAGUAACGAUAAAGCGGGUGAAAAGCCCGCUCGCCGGAAGACCAAGGGUUCCUGUCCAACGUUAAUCGGGGCAGGGUGAGUCGACCCCUAAGGCGAGGCCGAAAGGCGUAGUCGAUGGGAAACGGGUUAAUAUUCCCGUACUUGGUGUUACUGCGAAGGGGGGACGGAGAAGGCUAUGUUGGCCGGGCGACGGUUGUCCCGGUUUAAGCGUGUAGGUGUGUGUUCCAGGUAAAUCCGGUUCACUUUAACACUGAGGCGUGAUGACGAGGCACUACGGUGCUGAAGCAACAAAUGCCCUGCUUCCAGGAAAAGCCUCUAAGCAUCAGGUAACAUCAAAUCGUACCCCAAACCGACACAGGUGGUCAGGUAGAGAAUACCAAGGCGCUUGAGAGAACUCGGGUGAAGGAACUAGGCAAAAUGGUGCCGUAACUUCGGGAGAAGG